CGCCGCCAGUCUAUAAGUCUCCUCCACCACCGGUGUACAAGUACAAAUCUCCUCCCCCGCCGGUUUACAAGUACAAGUCACCACCACCGCCGCCAGUCUAUAAGUCUCCUCCACCACCGGUGUACAAGUACAAAUCUCCUCCCCCGCCGGUUUACAAGUACAAGUCACCACCGCCACCGGUGUACAAGUCGCCUCCUCCACCAACAAAGCCAUACAAGUACAAGUCUCCACCACCACCAGUCUAUAAGUCACCACCGCCACCGGUUUACAAGUAAAAACCCCCCCCGCCACCGGUGUACAAGUAUAAGUCACCGCCGCCUCCAGUCUACAAGUCUCCUCCGCCACCAGUUUACAAGUACAAAUCACCGCCGCCGCCAGUCUAUAAGUCACCACCGCCUCCAAUGAAGCCAUACAAGUACAAGUCACCACCACCGCCGCCGGUUUACAAGUCUCCUCCUCCGCCGGUGUACAAGUACAAAUCACCGCCGCCGCCAGUCUAUAAGUCACCACCGCCUCCAAUGAAGCCAUACAAGUACAAGUCACCACCACCGCCGCCAGUCUAUAAGUCUCCUCCACCACCGGUGUACAAGUACAAAUCACCACCGCCACCGGUUUACAAGUACAAGUCACCGCCGCCGCCGGUGCACAAACCACCUCCACAUUACAUCUCUGCGUCACCCCCUCCACCAUACCACGUCUAGAUGAGUCAACCCCCCAAGGUAAUACUACUAAUCAACAACUCAUAUCCAAUCACUGAAUAAGGGGCCGUUUGACAUAGAGAAAAUAUAUUUGUAUUUGUGGGAAAAUUAUUUAUUUUGAAAUUAACAUAUUUGCAUUAGUGACAAAUAUCACAAAUAUUUUUAGUUAUCAUUGGUUUAUCUUAUUCUGAAAAACAAUAACGUAAUUCUAAUUUCCUCAAAUAAAAAAUUUAGUUCUAUUAUUUAUGAAAUAUACAUAUCAAACAUUAUAGCCUAGCAAGUUUUUAUUAAUUAAUAAUACUGACCCCUCUCUCAACAACUCGAGCUAUUGGAGAUACGAUGAUCGAUUUUGGACAUGGUAUCAUAGAUUUAAAAAACCAAGAGGUCUCCUUUUCAAAUCCCGACAGUCUCCAUUCCGUACAUAUGACUUAUCGUGUGAACCUCAUUUCUUCUUAAAACUUCUGUCUGAAGGGCAUAUUAAUGAAUACUAUAUACAAAAUUGAUCUGAACCUUCCCCCAACAACUUACAAUGCAACGAUUCAUGACAAUUUUCUCGAUUUAGUACUCGAUACUCGGUACGAAACGGUGCCUUAAUUACUAACUUGUGUCUUGGUCCU
rnacentral:lncRNA from 1 species